ACACUGAUGGUGAAGUGGUUAUCAUGCUUGCCUUCCAUGAAGCCCUGUGCUUUCCACGGAGCAAGCGGCAGGGGUUCGAUUCCCCUUCAGUGUA